GCAUGACUCACGCCCAAAGAAUGCUGUGGAAUUCACCGGGAGCUUUCUGGAAGCCGGCGCUGGAGGGGACGAAGAGGCGGGCUCAGUGCCACCAGCCCGACCACUGCUGGCGUAGCUGGAUCAAGCUAGAAAUGGACAAGAGCAGUCUGUGCCGUGCUCACCUCCAACCCACAAUCCUCCCAUCUCUUCCCAUUCUCCAUCAACCUGGGAUGCUGCUUACUGAAGAUGGCAACAUCGCAGGACAGAAGAAGACUGGAUUCCCCCAGCCAACCUUUGUAAGAACCAGCUAACCUGCAGCGGAUUGUGAAAUUCAUGAGAAAUGAACUACUGCUUUCUGUCCUUGAAGUCUUGAAGUUACUUAUCGGAGCUAGCGCUACUUGCUCUAACUACUACAGAAACUCUUGAAAUGGGAUGCCACAAUAACAAAAACAUAAAUAUGUGGCAUUGCUUAGCAACAUGCUAAAGGGCAUUUGUUGGAUAGAAUCAAAGUGAGAGUGUAUGUUCUCUGCUAUUGGUUGUAUUUGGCAAAGCAAUCUAAGAAAAAAGAUGGGCUCAGCAGAAGUGGAUGGUUUGCAAAGAGAAAUGAAGGGGAAUAAAAAGAGUUUAGAAAAUUUAAGCCUAAUAGGGAAGAAAACACCAAGGGCUUCUCAAUCCCAAGUGGCAGAAAAGGCCCAUUAA